GACGUAGGGCGCGAGCGUUGUCCGGAAUUAUUGGGCGUAAAGAACUCGUAGGCGGUGUGUCACGUCGGCCGUGAAAACCUGCAGCUUAACUGUGGGCGUGCGGUCGAUACGGGCAUCACUGGAGUUCGGCAGGGGAGACUGGAAUUCCUGGUGUAGCGGUGAAAUGCGCAGAUAUCAGGAGGAACACCGGUGGCGAAGGCGGGUCUCUGGGCCGAUACUGACGCUGGAGGAAGCGAAAGCGUGGGGAGCAAACAGG
rnacentral:rRNA from 1 species